rnacentral:lncRNA from 1 species
UUCAGUCUCAGGUCCUGUGGGAGUCCUUUUGUUUUUAUUGGCCUUAGGUGGUCGACCCACUGGCCUUUUAGUUUUCGAGUUGCCAGGUUGUUGCCCUGGCGCCUCCUGAGAAUUCGCUCCUCCUCCUUGGGAAGUGCUUCGAGUUACCACCAUCCUGGAGUGUUCGACUUUUCUUAGGAGUGUUCGACUUUUGCUUGGAGAGAAAAGUCGAUCUUCAAAAAGUCGAUCCCUAGUGCACUUGGAGGAUUCCUUGGAAGCCGAUGUUCGAAAGCCUAGCUCCUUGAGGGGUCGACUUUUCUUCGGAAGAAAAAAGUCGAUCUCCUGAAAUGUCGAUCCCUUGCUGGCUGAUUUCCUCGCAAAACUUCCUAGCUGGCGACUUGGAAAAAAGUCGAUCCCUUUUUUCGAAAAAGUCGAGGAGCUUUUGUCGUGAGUAUCUUUGAACCACAGACGGCGCCAACUGAUGGGGGUGAAACCCGACCAGUACUCCAAGACGCGCAAGCAAGCGCCAAGCGGGGAACUCCGCGGGAAACCGGACCGGAACUCAAGUGUGCAGAGCUCUGCUUCGCUAGGAAUUCUUCUUCUCCAA